CAAAAGGUAGUUUAUUGAAAAUGCUGGUUUUGGGGACUGGCGAUGGGAAGUUAGUUCUCUCUUUUGA
rnacentral:tRNA from 1 species